rnacentral:rRNA from 1 species
GAUGAACGCUAGCUACAGGCUUAACACAUGCAAGUCGAGGGGCAGCAUUUCAGUUUGCUUGCAAACUGGAGAUGGCGACCGGCGCACGGGUGAGUAACACGUAUCCAACCUGCCGAUAACUCGGGGAUAGCCUUUCGAAAGAAAGAUUAAUACCCGAUGGUAUAAUCAGACCGCAUGGUCUUGUUAUUAAAGAAUUUCGGUUAUCGAUGGGGAUGCGUUCCAUUAGGCAGUUGGUGAGGUAACGGCUCACCAAACCUUCGAUGGAUAGGGGUUCUGAGAGGAAGGUCCCCCACAUUGGAACUGAGACACGGUCCAAACUCCUACGGGAGGCAGCAGUGAGGAAUAUUGGUCAAUGGGCGCAGGCCUGAACCAGCCAAGUAGCGUGAAGGAUGACUGCCCUAUGGGUUGUAAACUUCUUUUAUAUGGGAAUAAAGUUUUCCACGUGUGGAAUUUUGUAUGUACCAUAUGAAUAAGGAUCGGCUAACUCCGUGCCAGCAGCCGCGGUAAUACGGAGGAUCCGAGCGUUAUCCGGAUUUAUUGGGUUUAAAGGGAGCGUAGGUGGACAGUUAAGUCAGUUGUGAAAGUUUGCGGCUCAACCGUAAAAUUGCAGUUGAUACUGGCUGUCUUGAGUACAGUAGAGGUGGGCGGAAUUCGUGGUGUAGCGGUGAAAUGCUUAGAUAUCACGAAGAACUCCGAUUGCGAAGGCAGCUCACUGGACUGCAACUGACACUGAUGCUCGAAAGUGUGGGUAUCAAACAGGAUUAGAUACCCUGGUAGUCCACACAGUAAACGAUGAAUACUCGCUGUUUGCGAUAUACAGUAAGCGGCCAAGCGAAAGCAUUAAGUAUUCCACCUGGGGAGUACGCCGGCAACGGUGAAACUCAAAAGGAAUUGACGGGGGCCCGCACAAGCGGAGGAACAUGUGGUUUAAUUCGAUGAUACGCGAGGAACCUUACCCGGGCUUAAAUUGCAUUUGAAUAUAUUGGAAACAGUAUAGCCGUAAGGCAAAUGUGAAGGUGCUGCAUGGUUGUCGUCAGCUCGUGCCGUGAGGUGUCGGCUUAAGUGCCAUAACGAGCGCAACCCUUAUCUUUAGUUACUAACAGGUCAUGCUGAGGACUCUAGAGAGACUGCCGUCGUAAGAUGUGAGGAAGGUGGGGAUGACGUCAAAAUCAGCACGGCCCUUACGUCCGGGGCUACACACGUGUUACAAUGGGGGGUACAGAAGGCGGCUACCUGGUGACAGGAUGCUAAUCCCAAAACCCUCUCUCAGUUCGAAUGAAAGUCUGCAACCGGACUUCGGAAAGCUGGAUUCGCUAGUAAUCGGGCUUCAGCCAUGGGGCGGUGAAUACGUUCCCGGGCCU